AGAGUUUGAUUCUGGCUCAGAACGAACGCUGGCGGCGUGGAUAAGACAUGCAAGUCGAACGAGAGAAUUGCUAGCUUGCUAAUAAUUCUCUAGUGGCGCACGGGUGAGUAACACGUGAGUAACCUGCCCCCGAGAGCGGGAUAGCCCUGGGAAACUGGGAUUAAUACCGCAUAGUAUCGAAAGAUUAAAGCAGCAAUGCGCUUGGGGAUGGGCUCGCGGCCUAUUAGUUAGUUGGUGAGGUAACGGCUCACCAAGGCGAUGACGGGUAGCCGGUCUGAGAGGAUGUCCGGCCACACUGGAACUGAGACACGGUCCAGACACCUACGGGUGGCAGCAGUCGAGAAUCAUUCACAAUGGGGGAAACCCUGAUGGUGCGACGCCGCGUGGGGGAAUGAAGGUCUUCGGAUUGUAAACCCCUGUCAUGUGGGAGCAAAUUAAAAAGAUAGUACCACAAGAGGAAGAGACGGCUAACUCUGUGCCAGCAGCCGCGGUAAUACAGAGGUCUCAAGCGUUGUUCGGAAUCACUGGGCGUAAAGCGUGCGUAGGCUGUUUCGUAAGUCGUGUGUGAAAGGCGCGGGCUCAACCCGCGGACGGCACAUGAUACUGCGAGACUAGAGUAAUGGAGGGGGAACCGGAAUUCUCGGUGUAGCAGUGAAAUGCGUAGAUAUCGAGAGGAACACUCGUGGCGAAGGCGGGUUCCUGGACAUUAACUGACGCUGAGGCACGAAGGCCAGGGGAGCGAAAGGGAUUAGAUACCCCUGUAGUCCUGGCAGUAAACGGUGCACGCUUGGUGUGCGGGGAAUCGACCCCCUGCGUGCCGGAGCUAACGCGUUAAGCGUGCCGCCUGGGGAGUACGGUCGCAAGAUUAAAACUCAAAGAAAUUGACGGGGACCCGCACAAGCGGUGGAGUAUGUGGCUUAAUUCGAUGCAACGCGAAGAACCUUACCUGGGCUUGACAUGUAAUGAACAACAUGUGAAAGCAUGCGACUCUUCGGAGGCGUUACACAGGUGCUGCAUGGCCGUCGUCAGCUCGUGUCGUGAGAUGUUUGGUUAAGUCCAGCAACGAGCGCAACCCCUGUUGCCAGUUACCAGCACGUGAAGGUGGGGACUCUGGCGAGACUGCCCAGAUCAACUGGGAGGAAGGUGGGGACGACGUCAGGUCAGUAUGGCCCUUAUGCCCAGGGCUGCACACGUACUACAAUGCCCAGUACAGAGGGGGCCGAAGCCGCGAGGCGGAGGAAAUCCUGAAAACUGGGCCCAGUUCGGACUGUAGGCUGCAACCCGCCUACACGAAGCCGGAAUCGCUAGUAAUGGCGCAUCAGCUACGGCGCCGUGAAUACGUUCCCGGGUCUUGUACACACCGCCCGUCACAUCAUGGAAGCCGGUCGCACCCGAAGUAUCUGAAGCCAACCGCAAGGAGGCAGGGUCCUAAGGUGAGACUGGUAACUGGGAUGAAGUCGUAACAAGGUAGCCGUAGGGGAACCUUUCU
rnacentral:rRNA from 1 species